rnacentral:rRNA from 1 species
CAGUAGCCGCGGUAAGACAGAGGAUGCAAGCGUUAAUCGGAAUUACUGGGCGUAAAGCGCGCGUAGGUGGUUUGUUAAGUUGGAUGUGAAAGCCCCGGGCUCAACCUGGGAACUGCAUCCAAAACUGGCAAGCUAGAGUACGGUAGAGGGUGGUGGAAUUUCCUGUGUAGCGGUGAAAUGCGUAGAUAUAGGAAGGAACACCAGUGGCGAAGGCGACCACCUGGACUGAUACUGACACUGAGGUGCGAAAGCGUGGGGAGCAAACAGGAUUAGAUACCCGUGUAGUCCCUGUCUCUUAUAC